UUAGAACUUCUUAAAUUAGAUGAAUUAAAUAUGAUUUUUUUUAAGCGCCAAAAACUUAGAAAUUCAUAUCUAAUCCAUCUGUUGUGUUUUAAAAAACUAAAUUUUUCAUGGAGAGAUUUUAUAUUGUUAUAAAUGCAAAUAUAAAAACUCAUUAAAAAUUAUGAAAGAUUGAUCGGGAGAUUAAUUUUUUGUAGAAGAGUUAAUAUAAUGUACUAAACAUAUGCUGAAAACAAUAAAAUUUUCAAGUAAUAUAGAUAAGUUGACAAGUCACUAGGCUUAGUCUAUUAGUUAGGAGUUUGAGUAGUAUGUUUGAGGUCCUAAGUUCGACUCUCACUAACUCCAUUGCAAACCAAAAAUAUAUAUAUAGAUGAGUUGAGCAGAGACAAAAAAUCGCAUAGAAUUGAAAACGAAAUUAGACAUAUUUAUAGGCUCAAAUAAUUUAUUUAACCCUAUAAAAUAAUAUAAAAAUAUAAUAUUCAAUUUUGUAUAGAAAUACCAUUACAUCAAACUAAAUUUUAAGAUACUAGAAUUCAACGAAUUUAAAAGCGAUAAUAAAAAUUACUUACCACUUGUUAUUGAAAUAAAUAUGGAAAAGAAGAUAAUCAUAGCAUAAAUAAACAUAUAAACUUUAACCAUAGCUUUCUCUUUUAUAAAUUUGGAAAUUAGAAUCAUUUGUUAGCUUUAUAGUGUGAAACAAAAUUCAUGUUUGUUAAUAUGAAGUACUAUUCUUAAAAUCAUUAUAAUUAUUAAAUUAACGUUUCUUAGAUGUAUGUAUAAAACAUACGUCUCUUUAGCUCAUUCAAUUUAUUACUUGACCUUCCAUUAUAUUUUUUUAUUUCUAUUUUAUCCCUUCAUAAUAGAGAAGGGAAAAUCUAAAAAUAUGAAUUUUUUUAGUAUACAUCCUAAUGUAAGAUUUUUAGGAUAUUUGAAAAUAGUGUAAAA
rnacentral:lncRNA from 1 species